UGCCCAGCAACUGUUAUCCCUACCUCCUCGCGGUACUGACCGGGGUACGAGUAACCUUAGCGAAUAUCGGGUAACAAACCCCGUUGGGAACUCUGGUCGAAUGCUGACAGGGAAGA
rfam:Aedes aegypti strain Liverpool supercont1.57 genomic scaffold, whole genome shotgun sequence.